rnacentral:rRNA from 1 species
UACAGAGGACUCAAGCGUUGUUCGGAUUCAUUGGGCGUAAAGGGUGCGUAGGUGGCGGGGUAAGUCAGGUGUGAAAUCUCGGAGCUCAACUCCGAAACUGCACUUGAUACUGCCUUGCUCGAGUACUGGAGAGGAGAUUGGAAUUUACGGUGUAGCAGUGAAAUGCGUAGAUAUCGUAAGGAAGACCAGUGGCGAAGGCGAAUCUCUGGACAGUUACUGACACUGAGGCACGAAGUCCAGGGGAGCAAACGGG